ACACACAUUUAUUGAGUAAGAGAAACAAGCAGUAGGCCACACAACAACACCAUCCUCAUUAUUGUGCCAUCCGCUAUUCUGCUUUCAAUUUAACUCAUUCCUUGAUGCGUUUUAUUUUUGUUUGUUUUUUAAAGAAAACCAGUCAUUUAAUGCAGCCACAAAAACCCACAACUAAAUAUGUUCUCUCUCUCGGUCUCUCUCUCUCUCUCUUGAAGGAGCCGGUCUUCCUGCUUUGAGUUCCCAGAGUUCCCGGCUACUGGCAACAGAAUGCUGGGAAUAUCCGGAGAGGAAGUGGAAGUGACAUCACAGCGUUGACCUUCCGUACCAAGCCAUAUCACCUGGCGCUGCCUGAGAAGAGAAAUGGUGAGAGAGGAAAAAUUCCCACGAAGAAAGAGAGGAAGCGAUAAUAAAAGUGCAGAGAACGCUGCAUAUGGCGCCUGAGUUGACCACAAGCUUGAAAACCCCCACCACGCUUCAGACGGUUCCUCAUCAUCAGCUCUGUCUGUCUUUCUACUUAUUUACCAGCUUCUACUGGAUGGCCAUCUAUGUUGAUUGGCACUUCAACAUCUUUAUUCAGUUGACCCCACAGUGUAUUGUGCUGUUCACAACUCUUUAAUUUUCUUUCUGGAUGAAUAUUUGGACCAUGUACAUUUACUGAAGCUUUGGUACAGUUUGAAGGCCCAGUGUGUCACAUGUCAGAGUUGUCAGCAGUUCCUAAUCAAAGGGCAUUUCCCCCCUUAACUUCUUUAUUUAAAUAAACGCUUGAGUCAAGUCA